UUGUUCCUUACUUGAUUCAAUCAGGGGAUUGAAUCAAGGGUGUAAAGGUUUGUUGGUGAGCCUAGGUUGAAACCAACGUGUAAGGGUUUGAUUGUGAGCCUGGAAAAACAAUCGGGUGGUUCUAGUCGGUGAGCCUGGGAAAAUCGACCGAGUUUGUUGUGAUCUCGCAAAACAACAAGUUAGGUUGUGAGCUUGUAAAACAACCGGCUGUAAUCCGAGGGGUUAUAGUGAAUUCCCAAGUGAGGCUUGGGGAGUGGACGUAGGAGCAAGGGUUAGCUCCGAACCACUAUAAAAUCAUUGUGUUUGUGAUUGCCUUUGUGUCUCUUACUUUCAUUUCAUUCACUGCACAUAGCAUCUAAUUAAUCAACUUGCAAAAGGUAUUAAUUAGUA
rnacentral:lncRNA from 1 species